AGUGAGAGAGAGAGAGAGUGAGAGAGAGAAGGGAGCACAGCUCACGACGAGUGCCUGAGAAAAUAACACAAGACACACUUGUGCCCGCGCACGCCAAUUGCUGCUGUCUUACUCAUAGGUAGUUCAUCUAAAAUAGAUAUAUAGGUAUAUAUUUUUAUCUGAAGACAAUUAUGUUUAUAAUAAAGUAUCUCUAACAUAGAUUUGGCAAAAUAUAAAAUGAAAUCGCGAAAUGAUCAAUGAUUUCCCAGUACGGGAAUUAUACGGUUUUUGUAUAGUUGAUAAACAAUACAACCGUCACAUUUGUGAGAAAAAAAGUUGAAUGAACCUAUUCAAUUGGCAUUGACGAACAACUGUCUUUAAAAUAUACUUCCUAAUUUCUAGCAAGCUCGUCUUUAACUUUAUCGCAUAAUACAUUUAAAUUGAAUUUUACGCUUUUGCCGUUGAAAUGGAAACGUUUAUUCCUAGGGACACAGAUUCCACAGAAGAUUUUAGGCCGACAUCUUCAAAGGUGAAAUCUGAACAAUUUCUAUCACAACUGAUUAAAACAUCUAUACUGAGGCAGAUAUACAGACAACAGGAUUCAUGCAUGGAUAUGAUUGAGGUCUUGAUAUUAACCAGUUGUGUCAUGCUAUUUUGCAGUGGAAUGAUCGGGAUUGUAUUUACAAGCUAUAGAUGGUAUUUUCUUCUGACAAUAUUUCAAAUGAGUAAUUAUAAUAUGACUAUCAUCCCAAGUGUUCUCUUCUUAAUAAGUGGCUUGCUACAACUAAUUAGUUCUGUCAUGUUGUUCUUUUGCAUCAACUACUCAGAUAAACGAUAUGCCAAGAAAUUUGGUUUAGUGAUACUUUUGAUGUGCAAUUUCAGUGCAAUUUUCCUGGCUUUGUUGCUAACCUGGGUCUUUAUAGUACCCAUAGAAAAUGAAUGGAAAGUAGGAGAGAGGUUGAAUGCGACAAUCCCUAUAGGUCCAUCCAUGAGCAAUUAUUCAAUAGUUUCAUGGGACACAUUGCAAAAAAAGUUCUUUUGCUGCGGAAUACAUAACGACAGUGAAUGGCUUGUUCUGAAUUUACCAUUGCCUCCGCAUUGCUGUCGAAACUCUAAGAAUGAAAGUACAACAUCUUUUAAAUGUUCCAAACAAGGAUGCUCGAAGAAGUUGGUAGAUUACAUAAAAGAGGGUAACAGUUUCUUCACAGGUUUAGCAUGUGUGAACAUUGUGAAUAACAUGAUUUUGAUUCCUUUUCUCAUCUACCUUACUGUAGUGUGCAAUUAUCCUGUGGUGAUAAAAGUGGACACAUCAAAAGGAAACUCAGACAAAAUAAUAUCUGUUGUUUCGAGUCUUACAAAAAUGUUGAACGAGGUUGGCAUACAACCAGCAAAGAAAGAGAGUAAUUCCAACUACAAAAACUGGUUUUUUCACAUUUCGAAGUACAUUUGGAAAAACAAUUAAAUUAGCAUGUGUUUUAAUAUAUUAAUAAUUUACAAAGUAAAACAAGUACUUACAUGAAUAGAUAAAAAUCUGUUUGUAGAAGAAAAAACAAUGUAUUUUCAUUAUGCUGCAUCAGGAAAAGAAGAUGAAAUUUGAAUUUCUAAUUUUCCAGUUAAAAUGACUGAACUUAUGGAUAUGAAAAGAGAACACAUAAAGCAGCCUCCAGAACUUAAGACGAUAAGAGGAGAACAUUUUUAUAAAUCGAUGCAAUAUGGAUUGCGAAUUGUGAAUGGGAUCAACACUGUCCUCAGCAUAUCAUUUCUAUUAAUAGGAAUGAUUUUGGUAUACAAAAGAGAAGAAGGAUUUGUCAUUAUUCAGAAAGACACCUACCAAUCGCUUUCAACAGCCAUGAUGUUAAAUGGAGCUGCAAUGACAUUAUUUUCUCUCUUAGGGUUUUUCACUCUACAAGUCACUUCAAGAAAAUAUUUGUUGCUAUUUCAUGCUAUUGUGGGUGCUGUAUUGUUGGGUAAUAUAGUCGUAUCAAUACUCAAGAUACCAACAGAAAAUGAUAUUUUAAACCAAACCAAAGAAUAUCUGUAUAAAAGCUUGGCUAUGUAUUACAACGAUUCUACUUACCAUUUUGUAUGGGAUAAUUUGCAGUAUAGGAUGCAUUGCUGCGGUAUUCUUAGCUAUAGAGAUUGGUGUCAUAAUAAUAAAGACAAUGUUUCGGUUUGUGACAUACCUACUAGCUGUGCCCACUGCAAUUUACCAUGUCACAAAUCAGCACACCAGAAAAAUAAUUUCAAGUUCCACGUAGAUGGCUGCCUCCCUCUAAUUAAUGGAUAUAUAAUGUGUGCAGUUAUCUUUCAAAAAACAAUAGAUUUUUUAAUGCUUGGUUUAAUUGCAAUUUCAUCAAUAAUGUCUAUAUUUGUAUUUUAUGAAGUGUUCAAUAAUCCCCCUUCAUGAUGUUGAAUCCACUUUUGAAAACACACUAACACUUUCAACACAACUAAUAAUACAUGACUUACGAAACCGAGAGUAAAUUUUCAAGAAAAUUAUUUUAGUUACUUAAUUACAACAUUCAAGACAUUCUUCUUGAGGGUGUGAUUGAUUUGGUUGAUCAGGGAUGGUAGUAGCUUGGGAUCAUCAGAGGCGGGUCGAUGGCUGGUGAGCAGGGUGUAUCCAGCGUUCCCUAGGAAAGUUUGCCCUUUGAUCUCUGGACAAUGAGGACUUUGCCAGUAAGUAUUUUGUAAAUGUUUUAAUUGCACCUUCCAUAUGAUCUCCAACAAAAACUCAUUCAUCCAUGCCUGUCAAUCUACUUGAAGGAAUUAUGAUUUUAAA